GAUCUGGUUCAUCCGUUUCACUUUGCACAGUAAAACUCCAAUCCCGCUUUUCAUUGCAGCCGUCCGAUUGUUGCAUUUGUCGUUCACGUUGGCUCAGCGCUGAAACGUCUAUGACAAGCAGGCCCUCCCGUACGUGGGGUCGUGUGGUUGAGAGUAGAGGGCUGCUCCUCAGCGUAGUGAUAUCUGUCCGUCGUGGUGAAAACCUAGGCAUCGAGCAACUCCCGUCCCCCAGUCAGCCGCCUCCUUCCUCCUCCCCCAAUCCCCGAGCUGCCUCCUUCUCCUCUCCUCCUCCUCAAUUCACGGUCAAAGUUGGCGCACCGCCUUGCGCCGCCUCUCCCCGGGAUGGAUCGACCGGCAGGAGCGACGCCGCACUCCUCUCGGAGGCGGCUGGAUGCGGGAGCCGCCACCGGCAGGGAGGACGCCGCGGUUUGAAGCGGCGGCGGCCUGCAGCGCGCGGCGAGCGAUGGGAUGCCUAGACGCGGCAGCGGCGACGGAAGGCAGCGCCGAGCGACGGGGGCGGUUGGACGCGGCAGCAGUGGAGGCAGGGAGCGUGCCCGAGCGAGGAGAGGUCGUCGGCGGCUGGUGCCCUGUGUACACAUCGGGAGGAGGAUCUGCCGUCGGCCUCACGUUUGUGCAUCGUGCACCCUCCCGGCUGCCGGUGCGUCGAGGGUGGAUUGGCUCUGCUCAGGCAGGUGGCGGGCACCAUACUUGCUUCCAAGACUACGAGCACCACCUCUCGUCUUCCUCCCAAUCAAAAUCUUGCCAAAAGUGAGGGACUGCUCCUGGAAGGAAAAGAGGACAGGAGUGGCACGGGGCAUGGACGUCGCGCGGACAUCACGGUGCCGCCACAUGCGCACCACCAUGAGGUCCAUCUCUUGAUGCCGCUUUGGUGUUGAGUGUGCUCCAUCAUGAGCAAGGAAGCGAGCAGGUACAUAGGGGCGUCAAUUAAAACGGGACAGAGGGGCUAGAAAAGAACAUGCAAGUCAAGUGACUGAUUUUUGUAGCAGAGAUGUUCACGGGCUAGAAGGAACAACCUAUGUUGAGGCAUUUCUACAUAAAUAAGAAGGCUUCUGCACGUCCAAGUGUUGUUUAUGGUGGUACCUAUGUGCUAAAUAAGCCAGAUGGUCAGUUAGUGUCGAUCCCGGUUCUGGGGAACUGAUUUGGGCAAUUUUUGAAGUUUGGUUCUCAUAUAUUGGUCCUGAAAGAUAUUUUUGUGCAAGUGGCCAAUUGAUGUUACACUUAUUUGAAAGCCAAGCCCGGAAGAAAUGGUUAGAAAAUAAUGGACAGCGGUGGAUGAUUUUCAGAGCAACCUCACCUGAUGGACAAUGGUGUCUGCCGAGUGACAAGCAAAAGGCCGCAACAGUUGAUGGAUGGCGAAGGCCGCAACAGCUCGACUCCUCUUCUCUCUCCCGCCAAGAAGAAGCACCAGACAGCUGGGGAGGUUCCAGACCUUCAUGCAGGUAAAUUGGUGGCAAUUAGCAGCAAUGGACGAGGACAUCAGCUGUGUGCGUCCAUUCUACUUCUCCCCCUUCAAGAAAUUUCAGGAAUUGCAGAGAUUGGAGCCAGGUCACGCUCAUGUACUCUAGAUCUGCAUAUAUAUUUGGAUGUGUAUUGACUAUUUCUAAAUUUUCUGGUGAUAUUCUCCAUAAAUGCAUUUCAUUAAAACUGUCGAUGUUGAUGAUGGUUCGCUACACAGAAGAUUCUCACCAAUGGUGAUAACAAGCAACAUGUGAGUUCAUAUUUUCCGUGGCUUGUACAAGCAAUCACAUCUUCCACGCCGAUAUUUCCCCGUCUCUUGUACUCUGUUGUCUCCACACACUAAUUUUGCUUGAAUAUAUUCUGUGGCUUGAUUCUUUCUCUGCCAUUUGUUUCUUAUACAUUAUAGUUUGGAAUGCACAUUCCUUGGUUUUUAAGUUCUUUGUAUUACAGAGCCCAGUUUCAGCUCAUAUUAUCUACUUGGCUUGGACUUGUUUUCAGUUCAUGUUCCAAGCAAUUUUCCUGUGUUAGCCUGAGAAGCUAACUGAAAAUUGUAGGACAUAUUGAAUAUUCAGUCCUUUGAACCAAGUUCAAAAUUGCUCAUAAUAAAUCCCGGUGGAAAAUUAAUAUACUUUGAGUUCAGACAGUCAUGUAACAAAUUAAUAUGCUCAUUGUAGUAAUUUUUGGCAGGAUUGAGCUUUACCCGUGCUGUUCUUGUUGCUCCUGUCAAGGUUUGCUUCUGCUUGCCUGUGUAAAGUGUAUGCUUGCCUGUGUCACACCACCAGAAGUGAGAUUUUUUCUUGUUUGACUGUGUGUUCUUGACCUCGGACCAUGAGGUAUAAGCUCCAUUGCAUGGUGGGUUAUCUCAAAAUUAUCAUGUGGAAGAGUAUCUGGUGAUCGGUUGUAGAAACGACUACACAAUUUUCUAGAAGUAAAGCUACCAGUACUCCACUGAUUAUCAGGUGCAGAAACAAUAUGAUAUUUU